AACGAACGCUGGCGGCAGGCCUAACACAUGCAAGUCGAGCGCCCGGAUUUAUCCGGGAGCGGCGCACGGGUGAGUAACGCGUGGGAACAUGCCCUGAAGUACGGAACAACCUGGGGAAACCUUGGCUAAUACCGUAUACGCCCGAAGGGGGAAAGAUUUAUCGCUUUGGGAUUGGCCCGCGUUGGAUUAGCUGGUUGGUGUGGUAACGGCGCACCAAGGCGACGAUCCAUAACUGGUCUGAGAGGAUGACCAGUCACACUGGGACUGAGACACGGCCCAGACUCCUACGGGAGGCAGCAGUGGGGAAUAUUGGACAAUGGGCGAAAGCCUGAUCCAGCCAUGCCGCGUGAGUGAAGAAGGCCUUCGGGUUGUAAAGCUCUUUCAGCGGGGACGAUGAUGACGGUACCCGCAGAAGAAGCCCCGGCUAACUUCGUGCCAGCAGCCGCUGUAA
rnacentral:rRNA from 1 species